AUGCUUUCAGCUACAAAAGACCCCAUUGCAGUAGAGAGAGCCAACCUGUUGAACAUGGCAAAGCUGAGCAUCAAAGGACUCAUUGAAUCUGCGCUAAGCUUUGGCCGCACUUUGGACUCGGACUAUCCCCCUCUGCAGCAAUUCUUUGUUGUAAUGGAACACUGUCUGAAACAUGGUCUUAAAGUAAGAAAGUCAUUUUUGAGUUAUAACAAAACUAUUUGGGGCCCUUUGGAAUUGGUGGAAAAGCUCUACCCAGAAGCAGAGGAAAUAGGAGCCAGUGUCCGGGAUUUACCUGGUCUUAAGACCCCCCUGGGUCGAGCAAGAGCCUGGCUUCGAUUAGCUCUCAUGCAAAAAAAAAUGGCUGAUUACCUGCGCUGCUUAAUUAUUCAGAGGGAUCUCUUGAGUGAGUUCUAUGAGUAUCAUGCGUUAAUGAUGGAAGAAGAAGGAACAGUAAUUGUUGGGCUGCUGGUUGGCCUGAAUGUGAUAGAUGCUAAUCUGUGUGUAAAGGGCGAAGAUUUAGACUCACAAGUUGGAGUGAUUGAUUUUUCCAUGUAUUUAAAGAAUGAAGAAGAUAUUGGAAAUAAAGAGAGGAAUGUUCAAAUUGCAGCCAUCUUAGAUCAAAAGAAUUACGUUGAAGAAUUAAACAGACAGCUCAACAGUACAGUCAGCACCCUCCAUUCCAGAGUUGAUUCAUUGGAAAAGUCAAAUACUAAGCUGAUUGAAGAGUUAGCAAUAGCAAAGAAUAAUAUCAUUAAACUACAAGAAGAAAACCACCAAUUGCGAAGUGAGAAUAAAUUGAUUUUAAUGAAAACACAGCAGCAUAUGGAGGUGACCAAAGUGGAUGUGGAAACUGAGCUUCAAACCUACAAACAUUCUCGGCAGGGUCUGGAUGAAAUGUACAAUGAUGCCAGAAGGCAGCUUCGAGAUGAGUCACAGCUCCGGCAGGAUGUGGAGAAUGAGCUUUCCGUCCAAGUGAGUAUGAAACAUGAGAUUGAACUUGCCAUGAAGUUGUUGGAGAAAGAUAUCCACGAGAAACAAGACACCCUGAUAGGCCUUCGGCAGCAACUAGAAGAAGUGAAAGCCAUUAACAUAGAGAUGUAUCAAAAGUUGCAGGGCUCUGAAGACGGUUUGAAAGAAAAAAAUGAAAUAAUCGCCCAACUAGAAGAAAAAACCAAUAAAAUCACUACAGCCAUGAGGCAGCUGGAACAAAGAUUGCAGCAAGCAGAGAAGGCGCAAGUGGAAGCUGAAGAUGAGGAUGAGAAAUAUCGACAAGAAUGCCUCAGUAAAUCUGACAGUCUGCAGAAACAAAUUUCCCAAAAGGAGAAACAGCUGGUGCGACUGGAAACUGACUUGAAGAUUGAAAAGGAAUGGAGGCAGACUUUGCAGGAAGAUCUUCAAAAGGAGAAAGAUGCCUUAUCUCAUCUUAGACAUGAAACCCAACAAAUCAUUAGUCUUAAAAAAGAAUUUCUUAACCUUCAGGAUGAAAAUCAGCAGUUGAAGAAAAUAUAUCAUGAACAAGAACAAGCUCUUCAAGAACUUGGCAACAAACUUAGCGAAUCCAAACUGAAAAUAGAAGAUAUAAAAGAAGCCAACAAAGCAUUGCAGGGACUGGUUUGGCUGAAAGACAAAGAAGCAACACAUUGUAAGCUUUGUGAAAAGGAAUUCUCACUUUCUAAGAGAAAGCACCACUGUAGAAACUGUGGGGAAAUUUUCUGUAAUGCCUGCUCUGACAACGAACUGCCUUUGCCUUCUUCACCAAAGCCAGUACGAGUCUGUGAUUCCUGUCAUGCAUUACUCAUUCAGAGAUGCUCAUCUAACUUGCCAUAAAACUCCAGAACUAAGUCCUUCCUGUAUGACAGUACCUGCAAUGAAUAUUCCAUGUAUGCAAGGAUCAUCCAUCCUGUGUUCCUCAGCCUUGAGUGCUGGGGUUAUAUGCCACCACAUCUAGCCUGUAGGCUUUUCAUUUCGGCAAGAUUCCAACAGGAAGGACAAGCAAAACAAGUUUUCCAAAGUCAACAAAAUGUUUCUACAGCUUGAUACUAAUCAAGUAUCUCUGAAAAAGGAGGUCCCAAAACUCAGGGAACAAAAGUCAGAGAUAUUUUGAAGAGAUCUACUACUUAAGUUUUUUUUUUCUUAAAAGAAAAAUAGCAACAAACCCAAGAAGCCAGUUAUUUCCUGUUAAGCAUGAUUUAACAAGAGGAAAGAGUGGAACGGAUGUUAUACCAAGCAUUAAUUUCUCAUUAAACUCUUCACAAAGAUCUUAAUAGUGUGGUGUGUUGACAUUUCUUUUUUGUUCUGAAGACAGGAUCUUGCUGUACAGCCUAGACUAGCCUGAAUUCCUCUGCCUCCACCUCAGGAGUGCUGGUAUACUUCUUCUUCUUUUUUUUUUUUAAUGAAUGUUUUUUUUGGAAUGAAGGCUGUUUUUCAAAUUACAAGGUAGUGAUAGUUUGAAAACUUGGAAAGUACUAAAACCCACUGAAAUGUGUAUUUUUACAUGUAAAUUGUAUAACAAAACUGCUAAGGAUCAUCUGUUAACUAAAAUAUAUGACUCUAACAUGGAGAUUUUAAGUAAAAAAUACAAAAACCUGUUUACCAAGGGAGGACAAAAGAUGGCAGACAAGGCAAUCAGAUAAAUUUCCUCAAUUAUGAUAGAUGAAAAGAUGAACAAGAGAGCAGGAUAAGAAGUCAGCAGUCUGUCUAAUCCAGUAAGGAAAGCUCAGUCCUGUCAUAUUGCUUGAUGGCAUUUCUAGGUUAUCUGUCCUUUGGAAGGCCACUAAAAACCUGUUUUGUGGAUUUUUUUUUAAACCAAAAUUUGAUAAACUUCCUUGGCAAUCUUGACAAAGCACCAUGAAACAUUUAACAGGCAGCAACUUUAAGAAAAGUUUAUUUUUCCUAAAGCUGCAAAGUAGGUAAUCGACUUCUUAUAAAGAUUUAAGUGUUUCACUGGAAACAUUCUCAGACUUUUACCUAUCCCUUUUGUGUUGUCUCCAAGAAAGCUACCAACACGGUCCUGAUUCUGAGGACCUAUUCACCCCCUCCCCCCACGUGAUUAGGCUUAUACUUUUUUGCUUAAUAGGCUUAUCACCGGGUUCAAAAUACAGUUCUAGCCUAUACUAAAAA